rnacentral:tRNA from 4 species
CGGGGCAUAGCUCAGUUGGCUAGAGCGCCUGCUUUGGGAGCAGGAGGCCGCAGGUUCGAGUCCUGCUGCCCCGACCA